GCCCGCAUAGCUCAAUUGGUAGAGCAAGACACUCUUAAUGUCGAGGUUCUAGGUUCGAUUCCUAGUGCGGGUACCA
rnacentral:tRNA from 1 species